UACAGGGGGUGCAAACGUUGCUCGGAAUUACUGGGCGUAAAGGGCGCGUAGGCGGCCUGCUAUGUCGAACGUGAAAUCCCCGGGCUCAACCCGGGAACUGCGUCCGAAACUGGCAGGCUUGAAUCCGGGAGAGGGAUGUGGAAUUCCAGGUGUAGCAGUGAAAUGCGUAGAUAUCGUAAGGAAGGCCGGUGGCGAAAGCGAGCCUCUGGACAGUUACUGACGCUGAUGCACGAAGGCCAGGGGAGCAAACGGG
rnacentral:rRNA from 1 species